UACGUAGGGGGCAAGCGUUGUCCGGAAUCACUGGGCGUAAAGCGUGCGUAGGCGGUUGUGCAAGUCUGAGGUGAAAGUCCAGGGCUCAACCCUGGGAAUGCCUUGGAAACUGUGCGACUUGAGUACUGGAGAGGCAAGGGGAAUUCCACGUGUAGCGGUGAAAUGCGUAGAUAUGUGGAGGAAUACCAGUGGCGAAGGCGCCUUGCUGGACAGAAACUGACGCUGAGGCACGAAAGCGUGGGGAG
rnacentral:rRNA from 1 species